CGGCUUCUGUGUUAUGCAGCUGUGCACUUUGCUGAAGUUCUAAUAUAAUUUCCAUACGUUUCCCCACCGCCUGAAAGUCAACAGGGCCACAAGAGUCAACAUUAAUGUAUAAUGGCCUUAUACAUGAGAAGUCUACAGUCAUACACACCUGUAGGAUCCAGCCUUUACUGUCACAGAGCUUCUGCAUGCACCAAACAGAGGACUUUCUGGUGCUGUUGGAGGCAGUGAGGAUAAAGUGUUUAACAAACCAGAUGGAAUUUCUGCUGUCAUUUACCUUAAAUUCUAGGAGGUGGAGAAAAUGAAGCUCAAGAAGAAAGUCCAAUGUUGCAGAAUACUUGUAUGUGCAGAGAACUAUGAAGACUUGUGAUGGGUG